CCCAAACGUGACGCUGCGCGCAGUCAUAAGUAUAGCGUGGCAACGUCACAGACAUGGGCUAGAUGAAUACAUACCAUCAGCUGAUCAGCACACUCCCCCCUAAUUAGCCCUCGUGAUUGGUAGUGUCACGAGCGCAAUAAAAAAUAAGCAUAGAGCCAGGUAUAUUUACUGCAGCAAGCACUUUACCAAUUGAGAAAGCCGUCUGUAUACAGCAAAAUGCGUUUCAGGAUAAACAGAUCACCAGGACUUUUUUUUAU